AUGUCCAGCUUUUAUUGUAAUCUGAUUACAUUUUCUAUGUGUGUUACUGUGAUUGCAGAGUGCCACAACAGAGACAGAUGGUGGAUGUGUCCUGCUACACAGAUGCUCCUCCUAGUUAUUCUUCCAAAGGGACGCAGCUCUCUACCAGAACAGAGAACUCACCUUAGAAACAACUGUGACAU
rnacentral:lncRNA from 1 species